rfam:Bacillus cellulosilyticus DSM 2522, complete genome.
GUAAAAAAAAACCCGCAGAUUACUCUGCGGGCUGCCUCAUAACUUCAAUAAAAAGUGAGUAUAUCACCUAGUAUGAAGUUAAGGCUAUGGGAGAGGAGAAACCGGAGGAAGAACUUAUGGGGAAACGUAAGCCUUCUCCGCGG